GCAAGUCGAACGCACCUUCGAGUUAGUUGCGGACGGGUGACUAACGCGUGAGAAUCUGCCCUUAGGAGGGAAAUAACGGCUGGAAACGGCCGCUAAUACCCCAUAUGCCGAGAGGUGAAACGAGAAAUCGCCUGAGGAUGAGCUCGCGUCUGAUUAGCUAGUUGGUGAGGUAAGAGCUUACCAAGGCAGUGAUCAGUAGCUGGUCUGAGAGGAUGAUC
rnacentral:rRNA from 1 species